GAUGAAGAACGUAGCAAAAUGCGAUAAGUAAUGUGAAUUGCAGAAUUCAGUGAAUCAUCGAAUCUUUGAACGCACAUUGCGCCCGCCAGUACUCUGGCGGGCAUGCCUGUCCGAGCGUCAUUUCAACCCUCAGGGCCCUCCAGCAGGGCGCUGGUGUUGGGGAUCGGCAGUCCCAGCGGCUGCCGUCCCUGAAAUGUAGUGGCGGUCCCACCGUGACCUCCCCUGUGCAGUACAUCGCUCGCAGAGGGACAGCGAUGCGGCCACGCCGUAAAACGCCCAACUCUUCAAGGUUGACCUCGGAUCAGGUAGGACUACCCGCUGAACUUAAGCAUAUCAAUAAGCGGAGGA
rnacentral:misc_RNA from 1 species